AUGACGACCACCGACACUGGGCCCACUAGUCAGCCAGUGCAACCGUCCUUUUUUAACCCAUGCUUGCGGGGGGCCGUCCUCAUCCACUUCCGUCCACAUCUGGACCCCCACCAACCCCUUCUUGCUUCCUCGCGGGCGACAACCCAAAACCCUAGCCAUGGGCCUCUUCGGCAGCAGCUCCGGCAAAGGCAAGGGCACUCCCGGUGCCUCAUCCUCCCGUGCUCUUCCUCCCCCUCCUCCUCCACCGCCGGUGCGUGCCCGCCCAGGUCGGCCGCUUCUGCACUCCCGGUGCACCAAGUGCGGUGGCACUGGGAGUACAGGCAGCCGCUGCCUUACCCCGACGUGACGUUGCCGCACCACUGGCACCUCGAUCCGCAGCGGAUCCCGGUGCCGGCGGUUCCACGGUCACAGCGGGCGCACGACGAGGUGCGCAGGCGCCGGGCGCAGCUCACGCCGGCGCAGCAGCGGAUGCCCGAGUACGCCGCAGACUCUCCCAGCUGGGAGGCUUGGUUUGCCCUCGAGCAUAAGGAGCAACGGCGGCUCAGCGUCCUCAUCAACCACGACCUUCCGCCGCCGCCCCUAUGGGUAGAGCCGGAGGAAGAGGAGACGGAGGCGGAGUACCAACCCGCCCUCGAGGAGGCACUGCAGCACGCGCUGGAGGCGAGCCGGCUCGAGGAGGACGCCCAUUGGGAUGGGCUGGAGCAAGCCAUGGCUUGUCCGCGGCAAGGGACUCCGUGUAGGCGCCCCUGUUCGUGCCGCCCCCGCCCCCGCCCCUCGUCGAGCCCAAGCCCGAGACGGAGCGCGAGCCAACUUCCACGCGCAAGCGCCACGCCGGAAGAAGAGACGGCCCACCUUGAGAGCUGGAAGGCGCACUGGCUCGUAGACGAGGGGGCCAACAGUGAGCUGCAGAUGCAAUAUGAGCAGAUGAUGCGCCGUGACGAGGAGGCUCUGCGGCUUGAGGAGGAAGAGGAGGAGCGCGCCCGCCUCGCCGUUAUGCCGCCGCCGCAGCAAACGCCGAGGGAGGCUGCACUGGCGGCCUAUCAAGUCGCGUUCGGUUGGGCUGGGUCUCCCCCCGUCUUCAUUGACCUCACCGGUUGCGAGGACGACGACGACAAGGGCAAGGGCAAGGGCAAGGCGACUCUCAUUAUUUUGAGCAAACAGGCUCACAAAAAGAAGUUAGUUGCCCCCUAUGCGCCAGCCAGGAGCUCCGAAGGUGGAUCCUAUUUGAUGCUCGCGAGCGUCCAGACGUCGGGGCUUUCGCUGAAGGCGCUCCGAGUUGGGCUGGCCCAGAAAUUGUUCAACAUGCGCCGCAGCUUCACUCCUCCUCCUCCUCCCAGGCGCCGCCGCGUCACUCCUCCUCCUUCUCAGGCGCUGCAGCUUCACUCCUCCUCCUCCCCAGGCGCCGCAGCGUCACUCCUCCUCCUCCUCAGGCGCCGCAGCUUCACUCCUCCUCCCCAGGCGCCGCCGCGUCACCGCUUCUUCGUUCGCCGCGCUAUCUCCUCCCAGUCGCCCAUGGAUAUCACGCGUGGCGCCGCCGCAGCUUUCUCGCGGGGUGCCCUUUUUGCUGUUCGCUCCCAUGCGAGGAUCGGUUUCUAUGGGGGUUUGUUCAUGGUUGUGUCGUCGGUUGCCGGGAAAGUCGUCGUACACAGUUUUCCGCACCUUGGAGAUAGGCUAAUGCGGUGCUCCAAGUACUGUUCGCUCGUCUUUUCUUCCAUAACCACGACAUCGGUGGUAGCCAGUUCCAUCAUCCGGUACACCAUGCCUGACCCUGAUAUCAUCUUCGUAAACCCUCUUCCUCUGCCGCCUGCCAGGUUUAAUGCCUUGGCUGAUCCAGAUCCGGGGUUCAAGCAUGCUUUUGGAGAGCGUCUACUCUUUAUUGAGACACUUGACCUUAACAACAUACCUUGGUUGAUCCAUCCUUGGAUUGAUGCUGAUGCUCGUGGAGAUAUCAUCAAUAUUGAUGUGGACCAAGCUACUUCCCCCUUUGAGGCAUUUGAAAUAUGGCAGUUCAUAUGCCAAUUGCCAGAGGCUUGGCCAAGCUUCUUGGCACGAAAGCACUGUCCUAUCUUGAUGUCAAAGGUGAAGGAGCAUCUCGAUGGCCAUCUUUGGGCACCUGUGUUACAAGGUGAUUGGGAUUAG
rnacentral:rRNA from 1 species